UCAAGUUCUGUCUUGGUUUGUUUGGUCCUACAUACACUGUAUGCUUAAAAACAGUGGGGUUGCCUUCCUCACAGUUUGAGAAUGGAGGAGUCUAAGACCCUGGCACAGAAAUAUUCAGUGUAUUUCAGGAACCCACUUCACUCCUACUGUCUCACGAGGUGGGAGGGUAAGAAAGCUCUCACAAGUCUUAAGGAUACAAAUUCCAUCCAUCGAGUCACUUGUCAAAGGCUGCCUUUCCCACACCUUCCCAUUGAUGAUUGGGAUUUUAUCAUAGGAAUUUGAGAGUACAGAGCCAUUGAGCCUGUAGGCAAGGCUACUGUAGAAACACUAUUACAGAAAAGAAUUUGGAAAGAGGGGAAGUUUCCAAGUUCAGAACACAUCUUAGGGCAGGAAAUGUCUGAUUGACACUCUUGUGAAACCGGUUCCAACCGACCCCUGCUGCUGUUCUGCCUCAGGUGACAUCCGAAGUAUACGGCCCUACCGUGGCAUUCUUUUGCUUUGUUGCUGAUUGUUUGUUUGUGUUUACAUCCGCCUUCCUUCUCUCAGAAAUGUAAAAGAAAUACAUUUAAUUUGUUAACCUAUAGUGAAGUCUAAAAUUAUUAGCAGUAAGACAGAAAAUUUAUUGAAUGGUCUUUUUAUCAGACUGGAAGAAUUAUUAGCCUUGUAUUUGAGCAACAGUGACAAACACAAAGAUUUUAGAGUCCUGAGACAUAUUUUCAGGAAAUACGUCUCUGGGGGCCACACAGAGACUCUGGUUCAUCAAGAGGAGAGGGGUGCAGGAACAAAGUUUCUGCUGAAAGAGAAUUAUCAGAGGGACCAAUUUUGAGCAAGCACAUCCCUAUGAGGGUAUCACUAAACUCUCACAGCUGUGGUUAGCCACUCAGGGGAACGAACAUCUUCCCAGAGAUGUAUAAGCCCUCCAAGAGGUAUCAUUUUAUAACAACUCCAUGGGUGUUUGUGUGUUUGUUUGGUACUAAAAGAACAGCUCAGAAACAAAAUAAAAUCAUGCAUUUGGUAAUAUUUGCUUCUAGCAUUUCUUAUAAAUAUGCACAUUGAAAACAAACAAACACAAAACAAUUCUUAAGAGUCCCCCUUUCUCUGUUUGGAAUGAUGAAAUACUUUGAUUAUAUAGAUGAACUUCAUGGUAGGCAAAGGUCAUCUAAAAUGAACCACAUAAGACCCAUGUUCAUUUGCCUAAAUCCUUACCACCAAAGCACAGAGGAAGUGUUUAAAAAAUUGACAUUAGUUGAAAAGUCCCCAAAUGUUACCUUGUUUGUAUGUUCAUUUAGUCCAAAAUUAUUUAAUGGCCUUUUCUCCCCUCAGAGCAAAUACUUUACUCAGUGACAGAAAGAUGCAAAGAUAAGUGGGCACCUGAACCUGCCCUCAGAAAAUUUAAACACAUAUGCAAGAGAAAAAUGUGUUGACAAAGCAAAAUUUAAAAGUAGAAGGGAAAGGGUGUCAGGAGGAAGUUUUGGAAGUUGGAAAGAAAAAAGAUUACUUCUGGCUGAGAGAAUUAUUAGAAGUUCGAGAAGGCUGAAGAUGGGGAGGGAAGGAAAGACUUCAAGGUAAUGGGAGAGUAUGGGGCCAGCAAGUACAGUGAAGAUGUGCGAAAUAGUGAUCAGAAGAAAUUAUGUUUCCAUAAAGCCUGAGAUAAGGUGGUCUGAGCAACAGGAAAUGAUGUUAGGCUAGCAGUCUAGAGAUGUUGGUCUAUUUAUUCUAGAGACAAACUCGGUUAAGGAUGUUAGGAAUGGAUGGAGAAGGAGUAUUUGCCAAGAGGCAACCAGGAUAUUGUUAUGAUUCUUAGUGCUUAGUUUAGAAGUGUUUAAUCAGGUAUAUUGAAAGUCCAAAAGAUCCAGAACUGGAUAUAUUUGUUAGAUGCUUUUGUUCAAUCAAAAUAGUUGUUUCUCAAAAGAUGAAGUAUGUAUUACUUACAUAUAUUAAAUUUAAGACAUAUUCAGAUUCUCCCAAUAACAUCAUUGAAGAACUUACUAGAAAGUAUAAUUCUCUGUCAAUUCUCUAAUUCUAUGAACUACUAUGAUAGAUAAAUGUAGGUUAAAAUAAUGUGAUAUAUUAGAUUUAAAAUAUUAAAUCAACAGUUUAGUACAUGCUAUUUAUUCAUGUUGCCCAAAUUGUGGAAAACUUUGGGGAAUAUCUUCAUGUUUUCUUUGUGCAAGUAAGCAUGAAUGUAUGUGUGCAUGUACAUAUACGUAUAUGUAGUACUAGAGACUAUGCCUAUACUUACACAUGCUAGAGGAAUACUCACUUGUUGAACUGCAUCCCCUGCCAGCAUCAUGAAUGAAAGGUAUUGGCUUCUACCUUAGGAUAAUGGAUACAGAUGAAGAGAUGGGUAUGAGAAAUGGUCAUGAGGAAGAGUCUGCAGAGCUUGGUAAUCUAGCGAUAUAAGGAAAAAAAUCCAAAGUGCUACUGUAGUGUGGGACUUCACUAUUACCAUGCUGGCAGUCAUUGAGAGAAAUAAGAAAAAUGGAUGGUGAGCAAAUCCAAGUUCAGUGUGUAAUUGCUAGGAGGUUAAGGGUUUUGUGAGGCUUCUGAAAUGCAGGACUGACAUCCUGAAGGGCUGGGACAGGAGAUUUAGGAUCGGUCCCAGAGCAAUGGCUCAAGGUUUAAUGUGAUGAGCAAGCAGCAUAGCAAAGAGGACUACAGACAGAUUCUUGGAAAAGAAUACAUUCAUGAACGGUAAGAGCUAGAAAGAUUCAAGAGGGUAUC
rnacentral:lncRNA from 1 species